rnacentral:lncRNA from 1 species
GACAGAUGGUUCUCAGUUGGAACAUCUAGGCCCAGGAGAUUUUUAUGGAGAGGAACUUCUAGUUUCCCCAUUGUGGACCUCCUCUAGUGAUGCAAAACCCAUAAACCAGUCUGUUCAGGCCAUUGAUGAUGUUCAAGCCCUUGUUCUCUUUGUCACAGACAUGGCGACCUUGAGCUUUAGUUCCAGGCGGUAUAUCAACGAGUUGCGCAUGGUGGUAACUAUUCUUCAGAAAGUAAGCUCCUCUCUAUUUAGAAGAUAUAUAAAAGAUGAAUAACUGGAUUCGCACCUUCCAUCCUAACUAGCUACUAAUAUACAAUGAUGUUACUUAUUUAAUUUAUAUAAUGUUCUCUUUAUGUUUGAGAAAUUAAUAAUGUGUCAAAUCCUAGGUGCCAAAACUUCAAACUAUGGAUAAACAAGUAUUGAAAGCAAUGUCUCAUCAUCUUUCUCCGGUUAGCUAUAAACGCGACGACUAUAUUGUUCGAGAGAACCAACCAGUUAGUAGGAUGUUCUUCGUCACGAGGGGAGAGGUAACAAAAAAUGAGAACCCUCUGGAAGCAAAUUUUAUUGGAGAAGAACUUCUUGAGUGGGUAUUGGAUAAGUCUUUUCCUACCAUAUUACCCUUGUCGACCUGCACUGUUAGAGUAGUCUCAAAUGAUGCCGAAGUCCUCAUUUUGAAGGCCAGGAUGUUGAAGAAUGUAGUCUCUAAGUUCAUGAAGCAUUUCAGCAAUUUCUCCUCUCUCUCAGAUAUCCGGUUAACUUGGCUAAAGAAAGUAAGUUGCUCCAUCUGCAGUACUAACUUUUAACCAAUUUGCUUUAUAUUUUUCUUAACUGACAAUGUCACAUCUAUCUAAUUUUAGGUGGAAAUCUUUCAACAAAUGGAUGAACAAGUGUUGGAAGCAAUAUGCAAGUGCCUUAAGCACAUGAACUUCAAUGUUGCCAAACGCCAUAUUCUUCAAGAGAAAAAACCACUUAAAAUGAUGUUCUUCGUCAUCCGAGGAGUUGUAUUAAUUGAAAGCGAUAGUGCUUUGGAAGUGAACGUUAAAAACACCUGUGAAAUAGGAAGUUUCUAUGGAGAAGAACUUGUACAUUGGGUUACAACUUGGGUACACAAGUCCUUUCCUGCCAAACUACCUUUAUCACCUGGUUCUGCGCUAUGUAGUGUGCGUGGUGGUCCUGUCGAAAUACUUGCUCUCAAAGCCGACGACUUGAAGAGUGUAGUCUAUGAAUUGAGGUCGAAAUUCAUCACGGAAACCACCCUGCCUACAGAUUCUGAUCAGCCUCGAGAACUGACCAUCCUAAAGAAUGUAAGUUCCUCUGGAUGAAGAGAACCUGACCUAUAUAUAUAUAUUAUAUCCUAUAUAUUUUAAUCAUUAUUCUAAUUUCUCCUUUGCCUUAAAUAAAUAUGGUCUCCAAUAAUAUCCUAGGUGGAAAUCCUUAAGACUAUGAAUGAGGAAGUGUUGAAAGAAGUAUGCAAGCAUCUUACUGAAAAAACGUAUAAAGAUGAGUACAUUAUUAUGAAGGAUAAACAAAUGGAAAUGAUGUUCUUCAUCGUCAGCGGAGUUGUGUCAGUAACAAACGAGAGCUCGAAACAUUACCUUAGAGAAGGAGAAUGUCCAAAUCACAGUGGAGAUGAGCUUAUACAACGUUGGGUGCGAUCUAAAUCUACCAGCGUUUCUGCCGAAUUGCCCACCUCUCCUUCUAGUUUUUGGGCCAUCGGUGAAGUUGAAGUUCUGAUUCUUAAGGCCGAAGACUUGGCAAGUGUUCAGCUUGGUGAUCGAAUUGGUUAGUAUUAUCAUGUAUGUGCAACUAAUUAAUUAAUUUUGUCGUGAGUUGUGCAUAUAAUAACGGCAUGUGUGUAGUAAUAAGAUGUUAUCUUCCCACCGCGGCUACAUGCCUGCUUAUAUACAUACGUGCUUUCGUUGUCUGAUUUCUAGUAUUUGAUGAUCUUGGCAGGCUCUUGAGGAAAUGGCAAGGAAGAGUGAUGGUACGAUUACUUGUCCAAGGACAGGUUUGGUUUGCAAUUAAACAAAUCUGGUGAAGGCAUGUGUGUGUAUUUAUGUAUGCAACCCCGCCUUAGUUGUGACCUUUGUUGGAAAAGAUAAGGAGGUGGGGUAAUUGGUUGUACAUUAUUGUGUGGAGGUGCCAAGGUAAGCACUCUUUUUUUUCAAAUACCAAAUUUUCCUCUUCUGGGGAUUGUUUAUUAGAAAAGAAUUAUUAUUUUUUAUUUUUGGUCGAAAAUCAUAUCAUUAAAAGAAGCCCUGGAAAAGGAACAAAAGCUGGUAUCAAAUUACUUAUUAGGGAGGAAGACCAGAACUUUAGAAGCUAACUUCAACAUUUUUUUGUUUAAUUAUCCAAGGCUUAGGCUUGAAUUCAAUAUGUUUUUCAUGAAACUUGCCAAAAUUGAAAUUCUCAUUACAUCACUAGCUAGCUAGCAACAAGACAAUGAAUUAUAUGUCGGCCAUCAUCAUACAAUACGAGUUCGGCGUUAAUUUCGAUUUGAUUUUGCAUCCCACUAGAACUAUAGUAGAACCAAACAAUUCAUCAUGUUCACGUCUGACAUGAAGAAGUUGAGCGUUUGAAGAUGACCCGAGAAAGUGGUCCCCGCGGUCUCUUUGGGAGGUGGAGAUGGAAAGAAAUUCAACUUAGCCAGUCCCUUAGCAGCUGAAUAAUCCCAUGCCAUAACCUCGAGCUUAAUGGCCACUUCUCUCAUGGAGGGCCUUUCAUCCUGCAACCCUAGACAGCUUUUUAAGAGAUCAACCACUUCUUGGCUAUCUCCAAAUUUUCCUCCGUGAUUAUUUUAUCAUCAAGAAUUUGAUCCAAGCGACCCAGCAAAUAUAUAUAUAUAUAUAUAUAUAUAUAUAUUUAGUCCAUGGUAAAGCGUUUAGGAGACGAACAAAUUUAUGAGAAGAAGACUUGGGUAGAAGACUAGAAGUCUGGAAGCCAACAACUUUCGCAUUUCUUUUAUUUAUAAUCCAAGCCUUGAAUUAAAAAUGUUUUUCAUGAGGACUUGCAAAAUGAAAUUUGCUUUGGUUGGGAACGAGAAGACUUAGAAGUAGAUCUAGUCUCGAUGCUUGCUAGCUUUAACAUAUUUUAUUAAAGCCUGGAAUUAAAAAUGUUUUUCAUAAGAACUAGCUUGCACUGCAAUUUAUAAAAUCACAAAUCUUACCAAAAUGAAAUUUGCUUUGAUUUGGGAGAUGAACCAAUUUAGUCAACAAGACUUGCAGAGAAGACCAGAUUUUAUUCUCAAUGCUAACAUAACUUUUUUUUAAAAAAAAAAAAAUCCAAGUCUAGAAUUAAAAUGCUUUUUUUUUAAAUUUUUUUUUAUUGCGAUUAACUCAUACUGGAAUUAAAAGCAAACCAAAAGGUAGAGAAUAGUGAAAUAUUUAAAAUAUCAGCUAAUUUCAUUGGUUAAUGCAAAUCUUAAAAAUUAAAAUUAUUAAUUAAAUGAAGAGAAUAUGAUAAAUUCACACUUUUUCAUAUUAACAUAAUAACUGGUUUUUAUUUUACUCCAUGAAUAAUAUCUAGUUCGCUAAAUAAAAUUUGCGUUUAUUUUUAUGGAUAAUUAAAAGUUUAGGGGGAGAUUGAAGUAAAAUUUGCUUUUCUUUAACAAUUUGUGGCAUUCUCUUCUCAACUUCUCGUGUGCGGUGAAAACUGGUACGUGGGGUUAUUGGAAAUUAUGGUCUUGUAAAUUGUACGUUCCAAUCUUGUAGUUACUACCGGGGGGUCAUCCAUAUAAUUAUUCUAUUACUUCUCAUGUCCAACAUUAAAAAUUAUCCAGAAAACCAUAGUGCAGUGAAGCUGAAAAAGAAAGGAAAAUCAUUAUAAAAAAAAUAGUUACAACACAUUAAAGGAUUCUUUGCCAGAUAGAGUUCAAGAGGAUGAACAGAAAGUUAAAGUCACUACAAUAUUGUUGGGUAUAUAUGAUAGCUGAAGCCAACUGGAAUUGUUGAGCUGGCAGUGGUUAGUUCAGUGUUAGAUGGUUAGGCUGUUACGCAACAGUUUUAGAAGUUCGUUAAGAGCUUAAGAACAAGUGUAUAAAUACUCUAAGAAACCUUGUAAGGAUUUAUAAGGAUCUCACAUUAUUAGAACUUCAGCGUCUAACCUAAAACUAAACCAAUCCUAAUGCAUCAAAGACUAUGCUCUCAUGCAAUACCCAAAGUUCAUAUACGACUACAUAUGUUCAUGCAAAACUGUGAACAAAUCAUGCACUUCAAUUCAUAAGUAAAUGAGCAAAGAUCACAAACCUUGUUUUACACAGUUGUUCCGACUGCCGAAAAUCUUCUAUUCACCGGAAAUCACCUCUCUCAAGCUCAACUUUCGCUCUCAAAUACCAAGUGUUCCCUCAAGCAUAACCCUUCACCUUUUAUACUGAAGCCCUAGCAUCAGGAAGCGAAAGGGCGUAACAAUUAUGACAGCACUCAUCCAACGUGUCCACUCCUAGCAUUCAUUACAAACACAUGCUUGCACGGAAGCCUAGGCCUCAUGCUAAGCGAAGAUUUUUAUCCCAGCAAGCCAACCCCAGCAAAUCUAAUAAGUGCAUCACGAUUCGGAAACCUGUUCCGAUCGACAAAGCAUGCCGAACGGCAGGCUCACAAGGUUGAGUUCACCUCACCCGCCUAGCCGUUCUUCCUAGCAUGUCAAACGGCAGGUGCUCAGGGUCGAGUUCUCCUCACCCUCAUAGUCUUUCAUCUUUUCAUACCGAACGACAAGGGCAUAUGAUAGACUUUCCCCCAAGUACCCUUUUUCCCAACAACCCCAUUGGUUGGAGACUGGGGGGACUAUAUAAGUAUCAUCGGCAAACCACUAGGAACUUGCUAAAAUUCCUGUAGCGAGGCCCGGAUCAGAAUGUCGAAGACAUGUACGAGUACCCAACCAAGAAGUCCUUUCUCAAUCGAGAACUUGGGGGAGUCAUGUUGGUACCAUAUUUGACUAGGUCUCUCACGCCACGACACAUGGAAAUGACCUGACACCAAGCAGGGCCUAGAAGCCCAAGUUGGCCAGCCUUACGAGUGGUAGAUGCCCUGAGCACCCACUAUUGAUUCUACACUGACCGGCUCUUCACGUAGGCUCACAAUUGACAAUCGGCAUGUGUGCUCAGCACCCGUUGUCAAUUCAGGCUCCCAAAAGAUAUCUCAUAGGGAUGUGUUGUGUUCUUUACUGGUAUACUUUCUAGGAUACAUGGUAGUUCCCCAAGCUAUUCCCACAAGUCCCACAUCGAAAGUUUAUACCAAUGAAACACCAAAACUUCUAUAAAUAAGGCCUUUUGCGGGCAAAAGGUAAUAGCGACUUUACACUUAUGCCCUUACUUUGUCAUCAGCUAACUUAUAUUUUCUUCGGCUAACUUUAGUAUUGGAGGGCCUUCGGUCGGUAUCACACCAAUGUCUUAGGUCUUACCUACUGCUUUUUUCCUUUCUCUGAGAAAUGCCGACGGACAUGCUUACUGAAGGCAUAUCAGAUCACACAUCAUCCUUAAAUUUGGGCCCACUACUGAUCAUCUAGUUUUGAGCACAAACAACUGCAAUGAAGUAGAAUGUUCAAAUCACAGCGGAGAUGACCUUAUAGAAUAUUGGAUGCAAUCUAAAUAUAUUGUCUUUUCUACCAAGUUGCCCUUAUCUCCUUUUAAUUUUUGGGCCAUCGGUGAAGUUGAAGUUUUCGUUCUAAUGGCCAACGACUUGGCUGAGGUUCAGCCUCGUCCAAGUGCAACUGUAAAUUGAUUGUUCAAUUAUUCAAGUUUAUUAGCAAUUUUGUUCUGUAACUGUUGGAAUGUCAUGUGCUCUAUGUACAUAAAUCAUUCCCUGUCCAAACGCAACCGCAUAUCUCCUUCAAAAUAUCUUUCUUUUGUGGGUCGGAAAACCAAAUUGAAAUUAAUAGUAUCUACAAAUUACCUUACCGAAACGUAUUCUGUAUUUUUAUAUUGAAUUAAUUUGAAAGAAAUCCAAGUAGCUUAUCAUCUACGUGUACAUCACAUAGUUGUGCAAUCACUUGAAAGGUUCAGACGGCAAGUUGUAUAAGACUCUUUCAACGAGAAAGUCUCAAUUCCAAAUAUAUAGUUCUGUGGCCCGAAAUCACUUCCAGUCGCUUUAAGAGAGAUGAGUUGGGAGUGUAUAUUGAGUGCAUGCAUUGUAGCUAGCUGCUAAUUAUAUUCAGAGAUGCUGCUUUGCCUUGACCUGAUUCAGAUAUAUACUGUUUUUGUGUGGGAAGGAUGGAAGGAAGAGUAUCAAAAAACAAGGUUCAUCAAAUGUCAACCCUAUCUACUUAUACGCCAAAUAUUGUUCACAUGGCAAUCAUACGUCAUAGUUGAUAACUACAGUGUUUUCUUUCUUUCCAAUCUCAUUGUUUUGCGUUGAGUACAAUUUGGACACACAUAUCGUUACUGCUUAAAACGUCCACCGUCAAGACCUUAUCCAUGGAAAUUCAUUUUCCCUUAUUUCACACCUGCAAUAAUUCCACAACUAAUACUCCCAGAAAACAGGCCACAGAAAUGGGCCACGUGGCCACCUAUUCUGGACCAAACAACAUCGACAUUAUAUAUUUACCAUUUUUAUUAUGGAGAAUGCUAGCAAUCUUUUUUCUAACUUUCUUUUUUGGACUUUCUCUCUUGUACAUGUGUUACUUUCUCUACACUUAAAACAAUGUCAUUAAUGCAUUAGACAAUUUAUCUUUUUUUUCCCAAAUUGUGAAACCCCGUAUUUAUAAAAUUGUAUAGUUUGAAGAUUUGAUAUUUUGCCAUUUAAUUUAUAUAUUAUAUUAUAUUAUAUUAUAUAUGUGUGUAUUACAUAAAUAUCCUAAUACAUUAUAUAUGGAUAUGCUUAGUCAUUGUUAGUGUAGUACGUGUCAAAGAAAAACAAAUGCUUAGCAAGCAUAGCUAUAUACUAGCCUUGUCAAUUCACCAAGAAAAGUUGUAUAGGAUUGGAGGAAUUGGGAACUACCCCAUCUACAAAGCUAGACCACAUAAAAAUAACUUGGAUGGUAAGUGUUUGUAAACCGCCAAACACCAUCCAAUAGGAAGGGAGUCACUGCCGAUAUAUUCCUUAUAUAUAUAUAUAUAUAUAUAUAUAGGACGUGAGUUGCAUAGCAAACGGAAAAAAAUACAACAAGAGAGAAAUAUUGGUAGAGAGGAGUAAGGAAAAGAGUGAGAAACUGAGUUUGUGAAUUCGAUGGAAAAUUGGGAAACACUUUACAUUUCUAGCAAAAGCUUUGGUAUCAAGGUAGGGGUUUCUUGGUGACCUUUUACAAAGAUUGAUCUAAUUAAAUUUCGUGAGCUCUAUAUUAUGUGUGAUAUUGUAUAAUGUUCUUGAUAUACUAUAUUUACGUAUUGUGAACUAUUUGAAUAAUGUUAGCAUAAUUAUAUCAUGUCAUGGUAAUUGGUCGGAGUUGUUGGGUGGAGAAGAUAAUUGUGGAAAAGAGGGUAAUAAGAAGGUUCUUUUGUGUAGUUGAGUCUGACCAUUGUAGGGACCAAGUUCAGGCAAGCUCGUGUGCACAGUAGAUUAGGAAAUCGGCGGUAUAAUUGUCGAUUGGGUGAUUUGGGCUUGGAGAUCAAUGGUAUAGACAAGAUGACUAGCAAAAGGGGAAUUAUGAGAUAACUGUGAUGGGUGUUAGUUUAUAUAAUGGGGCAUUCGGAAUCACAGUGGUAAAAUGCAUGGUAUGGGACAUGCAAAUUUGCUUGCCCUACUAUAUAGAUUAACGGGUUGGGUAGAAUUGAAGAGCAUUCAUGCAUCAUUAUUAUUAUUAACAUUAAUGUGAUAUUUGGCUGUGUGAUUGCAUGUCACUUAAUUUAGUUAUAUCAAUCUACUAUGGUAAGGUCUCAUAUCCCUACUAAGCUGUGGUUGCUCAUCCCUCACCCUGUUUACUUUUUCAGAUGAAUUAGUGGGCAAGACAAGGAGUAAAUCGGUUGGGGCUGAAUUAGAUGAUAGUGAUAGAGCUUUAUUUAUUUAUUGUAAAGUUGUAAGAUUUUGGAUCUAUUUUUAUAAAAGAAGUUUAUUUUAAACCAUGUUUUGGCUUUUAUCUAUUUAUUUUAUUUUAGUUUUUAUUUUCUCACGCACUGGGCGCGGGAUUUUUACGUACCUCGGUCCGGGGCGUGACACAAAUUUACCCAUAUUAAAUGCAUUAAUUUUAUAUUUUCUUCAAUUUACAACUUAAAGUUCAAUUAAAUAAACAUUUGAAAAUAAAUUUAAAUUUUUUUUUAAAUUUAAUGAACAUUCUAAUGGAUUAAAAAAGUUAAAAAAUAAAAAGAAAUAGAAAAAAAAGAAGAUGAAAAUCCAAACCCAUUACACCAUCUGUCUCUCUCUCUGACCCAAAACCCAGCCCCCUCCCUUGGCCAAAACAACAGUCCUCAUCCGUACCCAAUCAUCAUCAUCGCUUUCCAAUCCAAAACCCCACCAUCCAUUGUACCUCUCGCUCUCUCCUCCGAUUCCAUACCAAAAAACUCAUCCCCCUUCCCUCACCAAGAAAAAAGUGAACAAUUUUUUAUAUUUUAUAUUUUAAAUCAUUGACGUUAAUUUUGUGGAAUAUGUUAAUUCUCCCUUAAUGUUUUUAACAAGAUGCAAACAAAAGUUAGUUUGUUCAAUGCAUUUAAUAAGGUAAAUUUGAGAAACAAAAGAUACAUUGUCUAAUGUAUUAAUGGCAUUUUUUAAGUAUAAAAAGUGACACAUGUCAUGAGGGGAAGAGAGAAGGUUCAAAAGAGAAAGUUAGAGAGAAGGUUGCUAACAUUCCCCUUUUAUUAUAACAUGACUUUAGUCUUUAUGAGUCCCGAUCCCUUUAAAAGUAAAGUUUGAGUAAUAAAUUACUAAAAGAAAUAAAUUAUUAGGUGUUUAAUGUACAUACCCUUAAUAAAGCCUAAACAAAGGUGUUUAGGCAAAACUCUUCUCACUGCAAAAAUUCCUAGCACAUUCUCUCCCAAAAAACACUCCUAAAGCCGUUUUUACUUUGAAAAAGGAGGAAGCCAUUGUUCUUCCUCCCAUCUCCCCUCUCCCCUCUCCCCUCUCCUCUCUUCUUUCCUCAUUUUCAUAGACAAAAGGUUUUCCCUAUUUGUCUUCGUUUUGUUAUGACAGUCAAAGUGUUAUAUACUUAGUCAAGAACCAAGUGUUUCAUAGAAGGUCUAAGCAUAUUGAUAGACGAUAUUACCGGAUAAGAGAUUGGGUGAACAAUAAGGAUAUUGUAAUAGAGAAGGUUCAUACAGAUGAGAACGCUUCAGAUUGCUUGAUCAAGCCAGUCACAGCUAAGAAGUUCAGACAUUUUUGAGCUUGCUCAAUCUUGUUGCAUGCUAAAGAUUGAGGUGGAGCUCUUGGGAAUUACUAGAACGGUUUUCCAAGAGGGUUGAAAAGGAUCUAGGGGUCGAUGAUUUUCACAAGGUAUUUAAGGCUUGCCAAUGUGGAUAUUGUUGAUGUUGGCUCACCUCAAGAUAUGGAAGGAUUGAAGGAAACGGGCAGUCAAACGAGCAACAGACGUGUUGACUGGGCUCUGGCCCUCAAGUGGCAGAACUCUGACUCGAGAUGAAACAGGCGCUCGAGCGGCGCGAGUGGCGCUCUAGCAAGACACGUGAAUCCAGCGUGUAUCCCUGACUUAUCUGGACAGAUUUUCUCUUAGUUUUGAGAUGUUUUAGGUUUCCUAUUCCUUGUAUAAUAGUACUAAAAUCCCAUGAAGUAUAAAUAGGCACUUUAGCACUAGAUUUUGAUAACGUGAGAAAAUUAAGACAUCAAAUUGGGUUGAGCCAAGGGUGAAAGAAAAGAGAGUUAGGAUUUGUGAGAGAGCAAAUGGGCUUCUUCAUUGUAACCAAAGAGGUUCUUUCGUACUAGUGAAUUUCUUAGGGAUCACCAAGAGGACGUUGACACAACGGCAAACCUCUAUAAAUUCUUGUGUUCUUUGUUUGUGUUUAUUUUUCAGUUUGUGUGUGUGCUUUAUCUUUUCGUGACUUGUGUGUGAUUGUUGCGUAGUCAAUCAACAAUAUGGUCUUGAAGUGUUAUGAUUUUAAAGUGCCUAUGUCUUUGUCACUGUGUGUUUCGUACUUUUUGGAGCAGAAGGAAAAACACAAAACCACCGAACACUUUACAAUUUUGUCUGUCCUUUCCCCCUUAUUGAUAUCAUUGAAAUAAAAGUUGCAAUGAAACCACAAGGUGCCAUUAAGAAGGUCAUAUCAUUACAUUACUUGCUCCCUGUAUACUGCUCAUGAACCGUGAAGACUUUAUCCAUGUAAAGUCAUUUUCCCAUUCAUACCUGCAUUAGUUCCACAACUAACAAGUGCCAAAAAAAAGUCUCUCCUUUUAAUUCCGCAACGUGCAUUCAAUAAGAUUCAAAACGUGGCAGAAAACAGUCCACACAAACGCUUCACGUGGCCACGUACCUUGGACCAAACAGCAUGUACACAGUACAUACAUCUACCAUUCUUAUAAACUUGACUUUAAGUUGUAGAAAAUUUGAGAUUUAAAGGGGAUUUGCUCCAUCAUUUGCAUUCCAGAAUUCUAGCAAAGAUCAGAUUCAGUUUCUGCCAAAAAAAAAAAAAAGGAAGAAGAAGAAAGGUUUGCAUGGCUACCGGUGAAGUAACUGUAGUAGUGGAGAACAUAGAAGGGAACAUGGAAGGGAAAACUGAAGCAACAGACAACUCGAAAGAGAAAGUUGCAAGGUUAGUUUGUAUAUAUACGUACAACUUUAACAUGCAUGCACCAUUUUCAUUUUUCCUUUCUUAAAUAAAUAUUCUUAUAUCAAACAAUGCAAAGUCCCCACUACAGAACAUAACCUUUUCGUUCAAAAAAGAAAAAAGAAAAAAAAAGAACAGAACCUUUUGUUGUUUUGAGAACAACUAAAGUCAUUGCGUUGUAAUAAGCCAAAUAUUUAAACACAUAUGGUGGUACAUAUAAUAAAAUAAUACAUAGUAAAAUUAAAUUAAUGGACUGCUUUUUCUUGUCAAACGAGCUGAUAUGCGCAAAUUUACAUUUUUUUUUUUUUUUCGUUUUUGUUUUUCUCCAGUGAUCGUUAUUCAAAUUCAGAGGCAACAGUGAAAAACUCAGCCAUGAAAGAUGAAGAUGGAUCAAAUAAAAAAGAGGACGAAAAUCAUGAUACUCGUUGGGGGGCUUUCCUUCAAAUGUGGAAGAAGAUAUUUGUAGUAUCAUGUCUGUUUACUGUUGCACUGGAUCCAUUGUUUCUCUACGUUCCUAUGAUGAAGGAUGAUAUCAAGUGCCUGCUGGCCGACAGAAACUUGAAGACAACAGCUCUUCUUUUAAGAUCACUCACUGAUCUUUUCUAUAUAUUUGACAUUAUUUUGUAAAUUUAUACAUCUGCUAAAUAUCGUGUCAGUGUCACACAAAACGACUCGAAAAUAAGGUUUUCGUGGAAAUCAACAAUAGCUAAGAUGUGGGUAUUCUUCCGCUUCUACAAUAAUAUCUUCAUUGACAUUUUGGCUAUUCUUCCGCUUCCACAGGUUAGACCUUUAUUGGAAUUUACUGACUAGUAGCAAAAGAGGCAAAAGCCACAAUUUACCUAGCCACAGUGGGCCGACAGUGGCCAAUAUUAGUGAUCUUUGCUCGUGAUAAUUUGAUUUUAAAUGUUUGUAUUAUGUUGUCCAGGUAGCAAUUUUCAUCUUCCUUUCAAAAAUGAGGGACUUGAGAUCUUUGAGCACAAAAAGGAUGGCUAUUAUGAAUCUUUUUGUUUUGUUGCAAUAUGUGCCACGAGUUCUUCGGAUCUACUUAUCAUGUAAGGAACUUAAAAAAACUCCUAAAGAAGAGAUCAAAGAAACUGCUAUAUGAGUUAAAGGUGUCUUGAAUUUCUUUAUGUAUAUCCUGGUUAGUCAUGUAAGUAACAAUAUUUAAUCUUGAUAAAUGAUUUGGUUGGAUUUUUUUUUCCGUAAAAGGCUAGGUUCUUAACUCAAUCAACCUUGAUGAAUGGAAAAUGUACAUGGGGCAAAAUGAUCCAUAUUACAAUAGAGUAGGCAUAUACUUAAUAUUCUUGAGUUACAUUUUCACAAAACAAUAAUGUUUCAUAACAUUAAGUCCUUCUUCCAAUCCUUAUUCGUGUAUGUUCUUUUUUCCUUUUUGUUAUAACCAAAGGCAUUCAAACUCUAGUCUCUUGGGCGUAAGGGUAAAUACCUCGUACUGCUAUAGGUAGAAACUCUCAUAAUUUUCAGUCUAUGUUUAAAGGGUGAAGAUAAGUUGUUGAAAUAAGGAAACUGUCCUAAUCACGAGAAUCUAAUGUUGUGACGCAAGGAGGCGACUCCUUCCAAAUACGCCAAAUUUGACAGUAUUUGAUAAAUAUAUUUUGAUGUAUUUUUGUUUAACUUGAGUGAAGUCAAAAAUUAAAAUAUAAUUUUAUUCAUAUUUUCAUCAUCACCUCUAAGUCUAAUCUAAUUAACAAACUUGUUAUUAUUUAGGUACUUGGAGCUAUAUGGUAUUUUUUCGCUAUUCAACGAAUGACCAUUUGUUGGUGUGAUGCAUGUCGGAAAAAAAAGGGAGGUGAUACUAGUUCUUUUGGCUGUCAUGAGCAUAACACAUUUAGAAAUAUUAAAUUUUUAAAUGAUUUAUGCCCUAUAAGUCCAGCGAAUACAACGCUCUUUGAUUUUGGUAUAUAUAGUACAAUCCUUCAAUCUGGUAUACCAGGGUCAACAAAAUAUUUUCAAAAGAUCUCCAAUUGUUUUUGGUGGGGACUGCGAAAUUUGAGGUUUGUAAUUUUUUUUUUUUUUGGUGUUGUUUGUUUGAACUUUGAUGGGUAAUGAUGAAUUUGCUUACUUCCAAUCAUAUAUAUGUUUUACCAUUUCAUUUUUGCAGUUCUCUUGGUUAAAAUCUUGAGCCUAGCGUGGAUGGAUGGGAGAACCUCUUUGCUGCGUUCAUCUCUAUAAUUGGAUUGCUUUUAUUCUUAUAUCUCAUUGGAAAUUUGCAGGUUAGGCUUGAGUUUAAUUUAAAGAAAGUUGAAUGUAUCGUUUUUGAUUUGAAGGAUUCAUAAAUAACUAAUACCUAGUUAAGAAUGACUGAGCUGCUUGUUGUGGCAUGCAUAUAUAUAUAUAUAUAUAGACAUACAUGCAGUUGAUUACUGCACGAAGAGAAGACCAUAGACACAAGGUGAAAGUGAAACGAAAGAUGGAAAAGAAAGAUAAAGAGACAGUUGUGGUUAUCUGAAAAUGGCAUCCCCAAAAAGUUGAAGAAGACGGGGAUGCUGAUUUGGACUAUAUCUUCUCUAUUCUUCAAAUCCGUAUUAAAAAAUAUAUGCAGGUAAGUUCCUCUAAACCCAUGACUUUAAUUAAGUAGUAGUGGCCUUUCCAUCUACAUAUACUCCAGGCUGAAAACACCCAUCCUAAUCUCAUUUAGUAAAAAACAGUAAACAAGUACAUCUUUGAAAACUUGCAAAUUCAUAACCAAACUCAUGAAAGACCUAAAUGGACCAAAACCAUUUUAAUUGCUUACGUGACAAUAACGAGUCCCACUUUUUACUCUGAUAAGAAUUCCAGGUGGGUGAAAAAAAUUAAAAAAUUAUAUAUAUUUUAAAUUCAUUUACCACAUUUUUAUCCCACAUUUCUAUACCACAUGAUGUGGUAUGCCUAUAUCAUAUGCCAUGUCAAUUAAUUUAAUGAAGUAUAUCUCUAUAUUUAAAGCAAAAGGCAAAGAAUGGUGAAACAUUCAAAAUACUGGGAAAUGCCCUUGGUUAAUUCAAACAUUAAGAAUUGAACUUAUUAAUUAAAUGAGGAUAAUAUCAUAAAUUCACAUUUUUCUAUUUAAAAAAAUUAAAAUUAAAAACAAAAUAAGAUAAUAGGCCCUACUUUUAUGGAACAUAACUACUCAUGUUAUCUUUUCUUAAUUCUAAAAAUAAAAUAAAAAAUAAAAAAUAAAACCAAUUGGCACAUGCUCGGGCUAGUUCAUGUGCCAAGGGGCUAGUUUUAAUAAAGAAAUUUUAAUUAAUUGUGUUUUUUAAAGUGUUAAUAAAUCAUAAAAGAAAAAAAUUAAAUAAAUUUAAUUGAUGUGGUUGUCUACCUCAUUUGCCACAUAAGGUGGUAUACAAAUAUGAUAAGAGUAGCAUUAUUCAAAAAAGUUAUAAAAUAAUAAAAAACACAAUGAUCAACCAGCCCCACCUCCUCUCCCCGAUCUCCAUCCUCCGUUCCUCCCAGCCCCCAGCUCCCACCCCUUCACCGUCAACCUAACCCAUCCAUCCCCACCCGCUCCCUUUGUCUCCUACAAACCAACGACCUAACUCUCCCUCUCCUUUUUAAGAAACCAUAUGUCAAUGAAGGUGAAGACAUUCCCACCCAAACUUAUCUAAGAAACCCCAAUCAUCUUCCCAAUGGCGGGUAAUAGUUAGCUGGUGAAAGGACCCGCCCCGAAUUUUCUCAAAACUCGAGACGAACCCUUUGGAAUUCCUGACAUCACUUUGAUGCCAGACCCAAUUACUAAAGACCGAGACUUCCUGCAGGAAAUUUCGGCAGAGUCUCCCCUAUAAAUUGGACAUUUUCCAAAAUUUAUACCUGCAUGAAAACGCAUUUAAUAUUCCCAACUGGCAGCAUGCACAAUAUAAUUUCAUGCAAUUCACACAGAUGGCCUUCGGCCUUCCAAUAAUUCUUAACCAACUACCAAGCAAUUCAAAUACAAAUUAUGACUAAUAUUUAGUCUGCGGCUGCACCUAAUAACCUUAGGCUGCCUACGUACCCUCCUUGAAGGAUCAAGCCACACGUAGUUCUUCCCUAAAAAUCCAAUUCCACACUUGGGCGAUGCCUUAUUUCAUUUCUCUGUAUUUCACAUAUUCUCCCCAUACGCCGGUACAACCAACGCCACGUAUGAGGCCUGUCAACACGCCGGAUAACCUACGCCACGUGCGACCAUGCCAUACUAUCAUAAUAUCUCCUCAUACGCCGGUACAACCAACGCCAAGUAUGGGGCCUGUCCCAACGCCGGAUAACCUACGCCACGCGGGACCUCAAUAUCAUAUCACAAAUCUCCCCAUACGCCGGUACAACCAACGCCACGUAUGGGGUCUGUCGACACGCCGGAUAACCUACGCCACGUGCGACCUCAACACAAUAUCACAUAAUCUCCCCAUACGCCGGUACAACCAACGCCACGUAUGGAGCCUGUCUCAACGCCGGAUAACCUACGCCACGUGAGACCUGAACAUCAUAUUACAUAGCUCCCCAUACGCCGGUACAACCAACGCCACGUAUGGGGCCUGUCCCAACGCCGGAUAACCUACGCCACGCGGGACCUAACUUUCACUUGGCGGUACUUGUAGUGAAUCCAACAUCCGGGGCUCCGAUUCACGAUCUGUGAAUUCCUACACGAUCCUAGAAAUACGUAGAUUAACAUAUAUUAAAUUUGGGACCAUCCGACGGUCCCAACCUAUCGAACCCGGAUAACGCACAAUAUGCGAUUAUCCGUUCGAUAGUCAAACGAUGUCCGAAUUGAGAUCCGCGAAAUCCUACGCACUCGUGACAACCUAAGGAUCUCAUCGGAACACAGUGCUACUUUUCUACAGUGUCCACGCGCCGCCGCACGCUCCGGCAGCGUGUGGGUGCCCAAAGCGAUAACGCUUUGCCGGAAAAGCUCAAAACCACGGCUCCAAACUCCUACCCUAGGUAUAACACACUAUUUGGAGCCACUUUUGUUCUUGGACCUACCCCAAAAAGUGGCCGGAAAUGGCCGAUCACGGCGGCCGAAGUUCGGCCGAUUUUCAAUUUGAAAAUCGAGUUGUCUACGCUAAGAAUCGAUCUAAUCCUUUCCAACCAUCAGCUAGAGCAGCUCGAGAGGUUCAAAAUCCAUACCUGGGUCGACGGAAUUGGUGGCCGGAGGAGGGAGAUCGGCGGCUGUGAAGAUCCGGCGACGUCGGCCGCUUCUUCUCCAAAUUCCGGCGAAACCGCGGAUGCUGGAGGCGGGGGCUGGCUGGGGUAGAAAGAGGACGACGGCCAGGUCAUUUUGGUACCGAUCCCGUCGUCAUCGGUGGCCGGAGGAGAGCAUGGCCGGCCAAAACGUGACCGGCUGUCGCGCGCGAGAGAGAGGAGAGAGAGAGACCCGCGGGGGAGAGAGAGAGAGAGAGAGAGAAAAAUCUGAGUUUUAUAAAAAAUUCCAUUUCGAAAUAUUUACGAUUGUGCCACUGGGCUUCUUUUGACCAUAUCUCUCUCGUUACAACUCCGAUUCGAGCCCACUACGUGUUUAUGAACUCGUCUCAGUACGACCUUUUCAAAAAUACUAGUUACUGCCCCAAACUCUCUUCGGUUAAAAAUAUGACUAAAAUACUCUUAAAUAAUUAAUUAAUUAAAUAAGGGUUAAAUUCGGGGUCGGGGUGUUACAGCUGGUUUGUCAAAUCCUUCUCUCAACAACAAUCGGGGGACUCAAAGAAGCGCAAAGAGGCGCAGUUGCACCUCCCCUCGCCGGAUACCAUAGAAGUCAGUCAUUUUGACCCCUUGGGCGGCUGGGCAAGAAUGCCCACAACCUGUUUGUGGGAAAGCCGGAAUAAAGAGCAACAAAGCAGCAAGUGCGGUCUAUUUUUCUUUUUAAUAUGUUUUAAGAUCUCCGUGUGCAUUAUACGUGUUUAGUUUUUGUUCUAUCAAAGACCACAUCAUGCUGCUACUUUAGUUUGAGGGUAGAGCAGUCAUUAGAGCUUACUAGAAUAUGCAUUUCAUAAAAAAAAGAAGGAAUAAUUGGAAGUGAGUUUUCAUGUUUUAUUAGGACCACCAAAAAAGAAGUGGAGAGAUACUAGAGUUUGAUGGCUUAACCUAAAAAUAUUUUGAUAUAUAUAUAUAUAUAUAUACAGUCCCUUUUUAUUGAGGGAUUUCUCAAAUAAUUUCAUUUGAGGGACACCCUUUAGGGUCCUCUACGAAUUUUUUUUCAACGAUCGAAACCAUCUAUUUUUUAAGUCUAUAUUCAUAGAUAAUCCUUGAAGAAAAUUAGACAAAUCGGAAACUGUUUUGAUAUCCAAUUGUGUCCUACAAAAUCAAUGAACACAAUGCUUCAAGAAAGUACUAAAAUUUCAAUAAUUCAAUUGAGUGGUCAAAUGAUAUCGGAUUCAAGUGAUUUUUUGUAGAGAUAUCUUUGAAUGAGUAUCUACAAAAGAGAUGGUUUGGAUUAGUGAAAUACAAUACAGAGUGGGCCCUACAAUGGUAUCCCUCAAAUAAGCUAAUUUGAGGGAUCCCUCAAUGGAAGCUCUCUGUAUAUAUAUAUAUAUAUAUGAUCUUUGAAUGAGUAUCUACAAAAUAGACGGUUUGAAUUAGUGAAAUACAAUAUAAAGAGGGGCCUAAAAGGGGUGUCCCUCAAUGGAAGCUCUCUGUAUAUAUAUAUAUAUAUAUAUAUAUAUAUAACUUAACUCAAACUUCAGACUAAUGCAUAUGCAGAAAAUAAUGCAUAUAUGAAAUUAAUCAAAAUAGGAUAAUUUUGAAAAUAGCAACUUUUUAUUAUACUCACAGAGGUUGCAACUGCAAAUAAGCUUAUUUGAGGGACACCCCUGUAGGCCCCACUCCGGUUUGUAUUUCAAUAAUCCAAACCGUCUAUUUUGUAGAUACUCAUUCAAAGAUCAUCCCUACAAAAAAUCUCUUGAAUCCGAUAUCAUUUGACCACUCAAUUAAGUUAUUGAAAUUUUAGUAUUUUCUUGAAGUACCGUGUUCAUUGAUUUUGUAAGACACAAUUGGAUGUCGAAACGGUUUCCGAUUUGUCUAAUUUUUUGUUAGGAUGAUCUAUGAAUGAAGACCUAAAAAAUAGAUGGUUUGGAUCAUUGGAAAAAAAAUUGUAGGGUACCCUAAAGGGCGUCCCUCAAUAGAAGGGGACUGUAUAUAUAUAUAUAUAUAUAUAUGAAGCAAGUAUUUAGAACUUAAAUGAAGAAAACGCAUCCAAUUACAACCAUUACAUAUCAUCCUAGCUACACGGUACUAACUUUUAGAAGAUUUGCUUCAUAUUUUUCUCAAAUAUUGUAUCUAUUUAUAGGUGCCACUACUUAAAGGCAUGGACGAAGGAGUUUUGAGAGAAAUCUCUGAGAAGCUUAAGCCCGAGAAGUAUACCCGUGGAGAAAUCAUUAUAAACAAGGAUGAAACACUUGAAAUGAUGCUUUUCAUCGUGGACGGACAUGUAACCAUUGAAAAGGAAAAUUCUCAGUUGCAAUUAGGCGCACAAGAUUUUUAUGGAGAGAAACUUCCGUUAUCUGUUUUGUGGACCUCCUCUAGUGAUGCAAAACCCAUAAACGAGUCUGUUCAGGCCAUUGGACUGUUGCAAUCCAAUGGUACAAAUUCAAUUUUUCCAAUUUUUUUAAUUAAAAAAACUAAGUGUCUAUUUCCAAUCAGACAACCUUGAUUGAAUCUAAUGAAAUUUAACGGUAAAAAAAAUAUCCAAGGCCAAAAGGUUGAUAUUAGUUAAUUUAUAUCAUAUUCAACCUCGAAAAUGAUUCCUAGGUCUAUAUACCCACCCAUUUGUUCAUAAUUCGUGCCUCUUUCUUUUAUAAUCAAAUACAAUUAUAUUUUUAUAAUUUAUAACUUUCUAGUGAAAAUGUUCAUAAAACUAAUUUUUUUUAAAUGUAAACAAAAAUUAAUUCCAUACAAGUUCAUCAAAAAAUUUGAGAUUAAGAUACAAUACGAGUUUUAUUGGAGUUGAAUAUAAGUCAGUUUUUAAAAGUCUCGCCCAUUUAAAAGUAAAGUUCGAGUAAUAAAAGAAAUAAAUUAUUAACACACAAUACGAGUGCCCGUGAUAUUGAUGCAAAUUUACCCUUCUAAAUCAAUAAUUAUGGGCUAUUUUGUGCUCCAAAGUUCAUAUUCUGCUGAGCACUCAUCGCUUUAAUUUGGAUACUAAUCAGAAGGAUAAUUGCACAAAGCUGUGAAACUAAAUUAUAUUGAAUCUCGUGAAAGUCACGUACGUAUAGAUCCAUUUACAUAUAUUGAAUUAUCUAAUUUGACUUUGUCCUUCACGUGAUUCAAAUAAUGUGGUAAAAUUGUUUUUUAAAUAAUGAUGAUGAUGAUUUGCACCAACUUCCUAAAAAUGUGGAAAUUUUGUUUUUUUUUAAAAUUGCGAGUCGCCAUCUUCAUCUUCACCUUCAUUUGUGGUGACUUUGAUAGUCUAACUGAUAUGAUUUUAAAACGUCUAUGUCUUUGUCGUUGUGUUUGUCCUUCCUCCUCUGUCAACCACAAUUAUUGUUCACAGCCAGUUGCCUCUGAUUCGCUACACUUAGUGGAAGAGUAGUAGGGGACAAGGUUUAUCAAAUGUCUACUACACUAAGUCUCUCACAUAUCUUAUUUUAUAUAGCAAUUAUUGUUGAUCUAAACUCUUAGAAGCUUCAAAACGAGAGCAUCUACCAUUCUUAUAAUUAACUUGACUUCAGUUUGCUCCCAUCAUUUGCAAAUUCCACUAGCAAGAUCAGAUUCAGUUUCUGGAAAAAGAAAAAAAGACAAGAAAACAAAAAAGCUUUGAGUUUUAUAUGGCUUCCGCUCACGGUGAUUUAGAGAACGCUGAAGCAAGGUUGGUUUCUCUAUAUACGUACGAGUUUCAUAUGCAUGCCCCAAAUUCAACUUUUUUCCUUUCUUACAAAAAUAAAUGUUUUUAAUUAUAUUGUUAUUGAUCUAGAACAGUUUAACCUUUUGUUGUUUUAAGGACAUGCUAAAGUCAUUGCAUUGCUAUAACAUUAAUAAUAGUAUAAUCACAGCCAAAUCUUUAAUUAUAUCCUAUAUACGUAAUUUUAUGUUCUUUGUGUCUUGGCCAGCAGAACAGAUUAUCCAAAUUCAAACCAGACAACGGAAAAUUCUUCCACGAGAGAUGUAGAGGUGAAAAAUUCAAAAAAUGCAGCACGGUUGACUAAAAUAUUUAUAACAUCAUGUGUGCUUGGCGUUUUCCUGGAUCCUUUGUUCCUCUACAUUCCUCUCCUCAACCACGAUUUGAAGUGUCUGAGGUUGGACAACACCAUAAAGAUUAUCGCUCUCGUCUCGCGAUUGUUCACUGAUCUAUUUUAUGUAGGCAGAAUAAUUUUGCAAGUUUGUAGAUUUGAAAAUUGUUCGCCUUUCAUGAAUCGAAUUCUUCCCGAAAGUUGCUCCUCCAAGUUAAUAACAUCAUUCAUCAAAUGCUUUCGUGAGUUAUUACCUGAAGUAACUGAAGUUCAUGAGAAGGAAUAUCUAAUACCAAGUAUAACAAAGGAGAUACUGGAGUCGUCCAUCAUAGUUGACAUUUUAGCUAUUCUUCCUCUUCCACAGGUAUGAAGAAAAGCUCUUUGAUAUCUAGACUCUAGAUCCAGUAGUUAAUUGCUUUUCCAAUCUCACUGUUUUUAUUUUUUAUUUUGGUCAUAAAUCUCACUGUUUUUGUUUGCAUGCAAUGAUAUAUAUAUAUAUAUAUAUAUAUAUAUAUAUAUAUAUAUGAGUUGGUCCUUUAUGAGUUGUUCUCUACUACGGACGUCCAUAUUUUUUCUAACAUCGUCCUACAUGUUCUUUUGCCUUCCUUGUGAUAAUAAAUUAACCUUAUCACUUUUCUUGGUAAAGGUAGAAUAGAAACCAUGCUCUACCAAUACUUAAAAGUCAAACAUCACCUCUAGAUUGGCUUUUCCUUCAUUGGUGGCCUGUAGAGAGAAUUUGGAGGCUGUUAUGUGUGCUUUAGUGCCUUUUUUUUAAUGAUAAAGAAGAGAGAUGUAGAAAACAAAAUGGAAAUGGUUUUCUUCCCAUUGAAUGAAUGAAUUCAUUCUGAUCAUGUGAAAAAAACAAAACGAGUCUGGACAUUAAGCAAUUCCGGACGUCCGCACUAGAGAAUAGUCCUCUAUAUAUAUAUAUAUAUAUAUAUAUAUAUAUAUAUAUAGAGCUUUUAUUAAGGGAUUCCUCAAAUUAGCUUAUUCGAUGGACACCUUUGUAGGGUCUACUUCGCAUCAUAUUUCACUAAUCCAAACCGUCUAUAUUUUAGAUAAUCAUUCAAAGAUUAUCUUUACAAAAAUCACAAGAAUAUGAUAUCGUUUGAGCACUCAAUUGUGUUAUUGAAAUCUUAGUACUUUCUUGAAGCACCAUGUUCAUUGAUUUUGUAGGAUACAAUUGGAUGUCGAAAUGUUUUCCGAAUUGUCUAAUUUUUUGCAAGGAUGAUCUAUGAAUUUAGACUUACAAAAUAGAUGGUUUGGAUCGUUAGAACAAAAUUCAUAGUAUACCCUAAAUGGUGUGGGAUCCCUCAAUAGAAAGGGAUUAUAUAUAUAUAUAUAUUAGGGAUCCCUCAAAUAAGUUUAUUUAAGAGACACCCUUGUAGGACCCACUUUGUAUUGUAUUUCACUAAUUCAAAUCGUCUGUUUUGUAGAUAUUCAUUCAAAGAUCAUCUUUACAAAAAAAAUCACUUGAAUCCAAUAUCAUUUGACCAUCAUAUUGAAAAUUUUGUACUUUUUUGAAGCACCGUAUUCAUUAAUUUGUAAGACACAAUUAGAUGUCGAAACGAUUUUCGAUUUGUCUAAUUUUUUGCAAAGAUGAUCUAUGGAUGUAGACUUAAAAAAAUAGAUAGUUUGGAUCGUUGAAAAAAAUUCCGUAUGGGACCCCAAAUGUAAAUGGUGUCACCAUAAAGAUUCAAGGACUUUAUAUACUGUUAUAAUGAUCUGAAGACCAAGUGAUCAAUACCUCGGUGGCUAUAAGUAUCAUUUCAACCAUAUUAGAUAACAUUUUGACCAGUAGCGGGGCCAGUAUUUCACAUUAGAGGGGGUCUUUCAUAAAAUUUGUCUUCUCUUCAUAAUUAUCAUGAAUUUCAUAUUUUAAAUUGGUUAAAUAUUAAUUUUAUCAUCUAAACUAUUAAAGACUUAAAAAUUAAUCAUUUAUAUUCCAACAGAUAAAAAGAAAUGGGGAAGAAAAAAGAGUUCAUAAAGUGCAAUAUUAAGGUACCCAACUCAUACGAAAAAAAAAUUAGGAAAAUAAAAAAUUAACAAAAGUUUAAAUAAAAUGUUAAAACUUUAGGAGUUUUUUGUGCAAAUAUCAUAAACUAGCCUCGAAGAUUUAAGGGAGAUAAAGAAAUUUUACAGUUUAUUUGUAUACAAAAAGAACAUAAUAUUUUAUUUUAUUUUAGAGUAAAUAUCCUAAAAUCAAUCUAAUAUAUUAUAAUAUUGUAUAUCAUAUAUAAUAUACAAAUAAAAUAGGUAAAAAUGGAGUGGGGACAUGGGACCACACUGGUCCCAUGCUGGCUUUGCCCCUGAUUCUGACUAUGUUUGAUAGAAUGGAAUAAGAAUACAUUUAUCAUGAAGACUGGGCAUCGUCUCUGCUAUUUCGAUUUCAACCAAAUAAAACUAGGGUUAAUUUCAAUUAGAAUGCUAAACUUUCACCCUUAAGGCACGUUUGUCUAUGCACUCUCAAAUUUAACAAUUAUGAAUUCUAAUCUUAUUAAUUUUUUGCAAUCUAGUUUAUGCAUUAACUUCACUAGUGAAAUUUCUGUUAAUUGCCCACGUGGCAGACUUGUGACCUACUUAUUCACUUCUUUUAAUGCUAGUUGAAGGGUAUUUUAGACAAUUGAUGUCAAAUGGGUUUGGGUGGGAAUUUUUUUAUUUGUGUCAAAUGGUUUGGGAGAGGAGACACCAAUUGCCUGAAAAUACCCUUCAAAUGACUUCAAAAGAAGUGAAUAGGUGGGACCUACCAUUGCCACGUAGGUAAUUAACAAAAUUUUUGACAUGUAAAGUUAAUGUUGGAACCAUAUUUCAAAAAAUUAAUAAGAUUAGGGUACAUAACUAUUAAAAUUGCAAGUGCAAACAUGCCUUAAGGGUGAAAGUUCAUGGUACUAAAUUGCCCAUUCAUAUUUGAGUGAUUUUGUAAAACUGAGAAAAGUAUUGGAAAAUUGAUUUGGUUGACGAAAGGCAGACAUCCUGGCGAAGAAAAGGGUACUGUAUUGUAGUCGGUUCUUUCAAUUAGGACCUUUUUUCCCUCUAAAAAAUCAUUAAGACUUUUGAACUAAUUAAUAAAUCCAUAUCAUUAAGCGAUGAUAUGACAUUGCCAUGUCACUUGGGAUCCAAUUGUCAAGUCACUUGAUACACAAAUUUAGUAUUUCUAGUAUUACCCUAAUUUAAUAUUUUGUCUCACGAUAUGUUGUUAAUAGUCGAUAUUAACAUUGCAACGUGUCCAGGUGGCAAUUCUCAUUUUCUUCCAAAGAUGAGGGUCUCAGAUCUUUCGGGGAGCGUAUUAUGAAUUUUCUUGUUAUGGUGCAAUAUGUACCACGAGUUCUUCGCAUCUACCUAUCAUGUAAGAAAGCUAGAAAACCUUUCAAAGGACAUAUCCCAUUAUGGCUUAAAGGUUUACUCAAUCUUUUUCUCUACGUUCUCGCUAGUCAUGUAAGUUUCACUUUAUCAUAAUUUAUUUAAUUUUAAAAAGUUCGCUUUCUUUAAAUAAAGGAUCAUAUUUUUCUCAAAAGUUCAAUCUAACAAGUUUGUUGUUUCUUUAGGUGCUUGGAGCGUUUUGGUACUUUUUUGCUGCUCAACAAAUGAUAAGUUGUUGGGAACAUGCAUGUCAAUAUGGAAAUGGAUGUGGCUCUACUACAUUUAAUUGUCACGAUCACCAAACGAUGAAAAAUAUUACAGUUCUAAAUAAUUCCUGCCCUAUAGAUCCACCAGAUACAACUCUCUUUGAUUUUGGUAUAUACCUAAAUGUCCUUCAGUCAGGUGCAUUGUGGUCAACAGACUAUCCCCUGAAGUUUUUGAACAGUUUUUGUUGGGGCCUGCGAAAUUUGAGGUUUGUACAUGUGAAACCAACGUAUACAUUGAUGCUGUUUUUUAAACUAGAGAGAUGGUUUUAGAUUUCCUUACAUUGAGCAAUUGAGAUUUGUAUAUAUUAUGUAUUCUGAUCCAUUUCAUGUUUGCAGUUCUCUUGCUUCAAAUCUCCAACCGAGUUUCUAUACAUGGGAAAUCGCCUUUGUAGCUUUUAUAUCUAUAAUCGGCUUGAUACUGUUUGUAUAUCUCAUUGGAAAUUUGCAGGUUGGUGCGGUGUAUAUAAAAAGUUCUCCUUAAGCUUAAAGCUCCUAAUUUGAUUUUUUUUUUUCCCUCAUUUAAUGAACUGAACCUUGUUGUUGUGAAGUAGACCUAUGUGCUUAUAGAUACUGAAAGGUUAGAGUCGCACAGACGCGAGAAUAAACUUAAACGGAAGAUUAAAGAAAAUGACCGAAAGGUAGAAUCAUGGUUAUCCGGCCAUGGCAUCCCCCUUAGCGAAAAGCAGAAGAUCAUGGAAGAGAUACAAAGAGAACUUGUUGAAAACUCGGAUUUUGAUGUGGUUAGGGAAAUCCUCUCUAUUCUUCCCCGCGAAUAUAUCAAAAGUUGCAGCCCAUUGAGUAGGCUGAGGAAGGUAGGUUCAUCGAAAACGCAUCGUAUUUAAAUUUUCUCCACCAUUAUUCGUAUCCAAUGAUGAUAUAUAUAUUAUAUUUUUAAUUGCUGAUUAUUUUUCUCAAAUAUUGUAUCUAUUUCUAGGUGCCACUACUUAAAGACAUGGACGAAGGAGUUUUGGUAGAAAUAUCUGAGAAGCUUCAUCCCAAGAAGUAUACUCCUGGACAAAUCAUUAUAAACAAGGAUGAAACACUUCAAAUGAUGCUUUUCAUCGUGGACGGAUGUGUAACCAUUGAUAAGAUAGAUUAUUCUCAGUUGGAACAUCUACGCCCAGGAGAUUUUUAUGGAGAGGAACUUCUAGUUUCCCCAUUGUGGACCUCGUCUGGUGAUGCAAAACCCAUAAACCAGUCUGUUCAAGCAAUUGAUGAUGUUCAAGCCCUUGUUCUCUCUGCCACAGACAUGGCGACCUUGAGCUUUAGUUCCAGGCGGCAUAUCAACGAGUUGCGCAUGGUGGUAACUAUUCUUCAGAAAGUAAGCUCCUCUCUAUUUAGAAGAUAUAUAAAAGAUGAAUAAUUGGAUUCUCACCUUCCAUCCUUGCUAGCUACUAACAUACAAUGACGUUACUUAUUUGUUUUAUAUAAUGUUCUCUUUAUGUUUGAGAAAUUAAUAAUGUGUCAAAUCCUAGGUGCCAAAACUUCAAACUAUGGAUAA